GGAGAGUCUUCAAAUAUAACACCCCGACCAACGUUUACGGUAUCAUGGCAAAGUCUAAUACAACCUGGUUUUGGUAUGUAAUAACAAGACAAGAAUUCUUUGAAGACACCCCGAAGACUCGUCUGUCAGCAGUGAAAUUCAAGAUCUUUUCUUACUUCGUGAUCGUUGACUACAAAAAGACUUCGAAUCCAGAUGGACUGUACAGAAUAACGGUCGGAAAUGAUUAUGCAGUUGGUCCGAUAGCGGUUCUUUAUGAAAGUCUUGGUCCUGAUACUGUGGUACCUGGUGAAAAGUUCGUGGGGAACGGUUUUAACAUCUCGGUAAUUGAGAAAGAUGGCGAUUGGUACAUUCAGGUUCGCUGCAUACUUCUGCCAUCCUCCCUGUUCGAUAUUUGGAUACAUGUGGCCCGACAUUGUCUCCAGCUUCACAUUCCUCCGGUCUGGCAAUCCCAGAUAGAAGGGAUAUGUGGAGAUUGGGACGGAGAUCCAGGAAACGAUGUUACGACACUUGACAGCUGGCCACAGGUGACGGCUCCGUUUAGGAGGUUCCCCUAACACCACACGACGCCGAUGACGAUAUUACUCGAUGAUCCAUGGCGUGAUGACCAAAGAACCAAUCAACCAACCGACCAACUCUGU